CCUACGGGGGGCAGCAGUGGGGAAUAUUGCACAAUGGGGGAAACCCUGAUGCAGCAACGCCGCGUGGGUGAAGGAGCGUUUCGGCGCGUAAAGCCCUGUCAGCGGGGAAGAAGAAAGACGGUACCCGACCAAGAAGCCCCGGCUAACUACGUGCCAGCAGCCGCGGUAAUACGGAGGAUGCGAGCGUUAUCCGGAUUUAUUGGGUUUAAAGGGUGCGCAGGCGGAAGAUCAAGUCAGCGGUAAAAUUGAGAGGCUCAACCUCUUCGAGCCGUUGAAACUGGUUUUCUUGAGUGAGUGAGAAGUAU
rnacentral:rRNA from 1 species